CCGGCGCACGGGUGAGUAACACGUAUCCAACCUGCCGUCUACUCUUGGACAGCCUUCUGAAAGGAAGAUUAAUACAAGAUGGCAUCAUGAGUCCGCAUGUUCACAUGAUUAAAGGUAUUCCGGUAGACGAUGGGGAUGCGUUCCAUUAGAUAGUAGGCGGGGUAACGGCCCACCAGCUUCGAUGGAUAGGGGUUCUGAGAGGAAGGUCCCCCACAUUGGAACUGAGACACGGUCCAAACUCCUACGGGAGGCAGCAUG
rnacentral:rRNA from 1 species